AAUGAACGCUGGCGGCGUGCCUAAUACAUGCAAGUCGAGCGAACAGACGAUGAGCUCGUUCCCCUGACGUUAGCGGCUGACGGGUGAGUAACACGUGCAUAACCUACCUCUUUUUCUGGGAUAACUUCGUGAGACCGGAGCCACUACUAGAUAAUACAUUGAACCGCAUAGAUCAGUAGUGAUACACGGUUUUCCCGUCUGUUUUAGCUGGUUCCGCGCCGCAUUAGCUAGUUGGUAAGGUAACGGCUUACCAAGGCAACGAUGCGUAGCUGAUCUGAGAGGGUGAUCAGCCACACUGGAACUGAGACACGGUCCAGACUCCUACGGGAGGCAGCAGUAGGGAAUAUUCCGCAAUGGGCGAAAGCCUGACGCAGCAACGCCGCGUGAGUGAAGAAGGCCUUCGGAUCGUAAAGCUCUUUUGUUGGGAAAGAACAAAAGUAUAUGUAACUAUGGACGUUCUGACGGUACCUAAUGAAUAAGCAACGGCUAACUACGUG
rnacentral:rRNA from 1 species